rnacentral:lncRNA from 1 species
AUUCUUGAUAGUGACCAAGGCCCUCAUUUUAUAUCAGAACACAAAACACUGGGCUCUUGAACAAGGCAUUCGAGGGAGAUUUCACCUCCCUCAGCAGCCUCAGGGGAGGGGCCUGGUAGAGCACUUACUUCUACAAAUCCUGCUAUUUAUAAAACAACAUAUGAUCUUCUAAAGCACUGUCCCUCCUGCACAAGGCCAUGCUUAUGCCGAACUCCUGGUCAUUAGGGUCCACGCCUCCUUUUCAAAAUGCAUUUACUACAUCCCAAAUGCCUUUCUUUGCCCUUAAAAUGACAUGACACUAUGGGGCCCAGGAGGACUACAUCGCACCUCUUCCAGCUACCCGUCCUCCAUCUCAGCUCCCAAGCCUGGCCCCACUGGGACAGGGCUGCACAGAAGGUGAACCUUGAGCUGCGACCCCUUCACUAUUUAUCCAGAUGAGAGGCAUCUGUGUAAGCCACAAGCUUUACCAAAAUUUCCAGCUGCGAAGGUGAUUCCAUUGGUAAGACUAGGAAUGAUCUGACUCAGAAAGCAGAAACCACCACGAUAUGGAUCCACACCCACAUCUGUGCAAUGGCAGAAAGAGGCCAAGGAAAGUCAAACGUGGUUUCAACCAAAAGCACCCUCCCCAGUGGAAUGCAGCCGUUCCUGACCACAAAGACCUGGAAUGGGAGUGU